ACCAGCGGGCGCGGACCAGGACGGGUUUAGGUAAGGAGGCCCCACCUCCCCACGCCCCGCAAGCCCCCGCCUGACGGCGGGUCCCCCGCACGCCCCGAAUCCUCGGGGACUGGGGUCGCGCGGAGGUGAAUUCCAAGUCCUGGGAGAGGAUGGGUCCCUUGGCUGAGCUGAGGACGUGAGUCAGAGCUCGUGGAGCCGCCGGGACCUGCGUUUCAGAGGAGCCGGUCUGGAAGCAGAGACGCCAGCGGAGAGGCUGAUGGCACAGUCCAGAGCCCCACCAGGACCACCGUGCGUGUGGAUGGCAGCCUCUGGAGUUGUGCAGUGUGCGGCCCUGCGCCUGGCCCGGGCUGCGUCUGAUUCGGUAUAAUCAACGUUGUGGAUUCCUCCCAGCCGGGCAUUUGUUUCUCCGUGGAAGCUGAGUUCCAGCCACUACACUGCCUCAGAAGCCAGGGUCACCUGACUGCCAGGAGGUACCAGGUACUGAAUCCAGGACCUUGUACGUGGGAAGCAGGCGCUCGACCACCUGAGCUACAUCCACUCCCUCUGUACACUUCUAAGUGCCUUUCUGUGUGCGUGUGCAUGCGUGUGGUUGAUAUGAAGGUUUCCUGCCAGGUGCAACGUUCUGGCUUUCUCUCUCUAAACAAUACCGCGUCUUGGAGAACGUUCAUGUCAGGACACAUUGGAGCUGAUCCUUGAUCUGCUGUGAGGCGUUCCAGAGCGUGGCUAUGUUACAGGGUGUUUUGUUAUCGCCCCUUAGCCUCACCCCCUCCUAGCCAUCCACCUUUGGUUGUUUUGCCAGGUCGAGGGCUACAGAUAAUGCUGUGGGGUGUGUCUCCUUGUGCCUGGGAGAGAGAGUGAUUCUCCAGUGGCGUGACUGAGGUCACCUGCUAUGCAUUUUUAAGUUAGAAAGUCCCACACUGUGCCCCACCCAGAGUGGCCCUAUCAGUGUGCCUGCUCCCCAACAGACGGGCUUUCUACUGCGUCCUCGGGCUCCCGGGUGUGUCCUGGAGUCAGCUGGCCCGGUCACCUCCCUCCUGCAGCUGGAGCUUCACCUCCCCUGGGCUGUUUUGUUGUGGGGACAAAAAUGAGAUAAAGGAUGGAGUGUGUGGGGCCCUCCUGUCAUCCUGAAGAGUAACAGGCAUCGUUGCUGGCUUGGGAGAAGGUGGGCUCGGCCGACAGGAUCUGCUGCCUUUNNNNNNNNNNNNNNNNNNNNNNNNNNNNNNNNNNNNNNNNNNNNNNNNNNGGGAGAGAGCCAAGCCGUUCGCCUGUAUACAGCUGGCCUUGUGGAUAGAGCAGAGCAGCUGAGCCUGGAAAGAGACGAGCCCCGGGAAGAGAGACGAGCCUGAUGCCAGCCUACAGCUGAGCUCAGAAGAAGCUGGGACCAUGGAGCCUUGCGGGGAAGAGGAGGGCUGGACCCUCGCAGAGACGGGCAGCCAUGUUGCUCCAACACGUGGCAACAGACCUUGGUGAGGGAAGUAAGUUACUCUUUACUACCUUGUGACUGUAAGUUUCUACCCCAAAUAAAAAACUUCAUAAAAGCAUAAGUUUUCUGGUGCUUUGCAU
rnacentral:lncRNA from 1 species